rnacentral:lncRNA from 1 species
CUUAGCUAUUGGGUCCCUCUCCCACUAGCUAAGUAGGAAAAGAACAACCCCCAACUUCCAGGGAGAAUGCAGGAAAUCAGCUAAUUUUUUUGUGUUCUAGUUUUCUAUGUUUUAGUGUUCACAUGUGCAUAUACACAUAGACAUGAUUGACGAUGCAAUAUGGGUGAUUAUGGACAUGCAUUAUUUACCAUGUCCCCACUAUGUGCCUUAAACUCUGCUGUGUGCUUGAUUUAUACCUUUGGAUAUAAGUUCUUGGACUUAUGAAGCAUAUAGUCAAUUAAAGAGCUAGAUUUUCGAGAAUAGUGAAGCAACCUAUUUUUUUCUUUUUAAGAGAGGGUCUGGUUCUGUCACUUAGUCUGGAGUGCAGUGGUGCCAAUCAUGGCUCACUGCACCCUCGACCUCCUGGGCUCAAGUGACCCACCCGGGCCUCCCAUAGUGAUAGGCAUGAGCCACCACACAUGGCCAAGCAACUGUUAUUUAAUUAGAAUUGUCAUAAGUGCAGCCGUGACAAAGUACAGAGUGUUAUAAAAGUAUAAAACAGAAAGACAUAACCUAAUUUGGGAGAUUUGGGUAGGUUUCAAUGAAUAAGUUACAAAUUAAUGAGAGAACUGAAGGAGGAACUGGCUAGGUGAAAAGUUGUGAAGUGAGCCUUGUGGGCAGAGGGAAUGUAAUGUGCAAAGGUCCUGAGAUUGAACAGAGCUCGAAAACUUACAGGAAUUGAAAAAAGGUUAGUGCUGUUGCAGCAUUCUGAGCAAAGAGGAGAGUUGCCAAGAUGAAUCUGGCCACAUCAUAUAGGACUUUGUGGGCAAUGUUAAAGAACUGUGACAUUGGCUGGGCACGGUGGCUGAUGCCUGUAAUCCCAGCACUUUGGGAGGCCCAGGCGGGUGGUUCACAUGAGGUCAGGAGUUCGAGACUAGCCUGACCAACAUGGUGAAACCCUGUCUCUACUAAAAAUACAAAAAAAUUAGCGGGAUGUGGUGGCUCACACCUAUAGUCCCAGCUACUCAGGAGGCUGAGACAGGAGAGUUGCUUGAACCCAGCAGGCAGAGGUGGUAGUGAGCUGAGAUUGCGCCACUGCACUCCAGCCUGAGUGACAGAGCAGGACUCCCUCUCAGAAAAAAAAAAAAAAAAAAAGGAAUUGUGACCACAUCAUCCUGAUAAUAUAAUUAUUAGAAUUUUUUUUUACAGUAGUAAGUUUUUUAAUCCACUGAAAAAUACAAGAGCACCGGCCAGGUGUGGUGGCUCAUGCCUAUAAUCCCACUUUGGGAGGCCGAGGCAGGUGGAUCACGAGGUCAGGAGUUUGAAACCAGCCUGACCAGCAUGGUGAAACCCCAUCUCUCCGAAAAUACAAAAAAAUUAGCCGGGCAUGGUGGCGCGUGCCUGUAAUUCCAGCUACUCAGGAGGUUGAGCAGGAGAAUUGCUUGAACCCGGGAGGCGGAGGUUGCAGUGAGCCAAGAUCGUGCCACUGCACUCUAGCCUGGGUGACAGAGCUAGACACCCUCUCAAAAAAAAACAAAACAACAAAAAAAA